AAUUACUGGGCGUAAAGCGCACGCAGGCGGUUUGUUAAGUCAGAUGUGAAAUCCCCGAGCUUAACUUGGGAACUGCAUUUGAAACUGGCAAGCUAGAGUCUUGUAGAGGGGGGUAGAAUUCCAGGUGUAGCGGUGAAAUGCGUAGAGAUCUGGAGGAAUACCGGUGGCGAAGGCGGCCCCCUGGACAAAGACUGACGCUCAGGUGCGAAAGCGUGGGGAGCAAACAGGAUUAGAUACCCUGGUAGUCCACGCUGUAAACGAUGUCGACUUGGAGGUUGUGCCCUUGAGGCGUGGCUUCCGGAGCUAACGCGUUAAGUCGACCGCCUGGGGAGUACGGCCGCAAGGUUAAAACUCAAAUGAAUUGACGGGGGCCCGCACAAGCGGUAAUCGAAU
rnacentral:rRNA from 1 species